GACAGAGGGUGCAAACGUUGUUCGGAAUUACUGGGCGUAAAGCGUGUGUAGGCGGCUACGAAAGUCGGAUGUGAAAGCCCCGGGCUCAACCCGGGAAGUGCACUCGAUACUGCGUAGCUUGAGUAUCGGAGAGGUUGGUGGAAUUCUCGGUGUAGAGGUGAAAUUCGUAGAUAUCGAGAGGAACACCUGUGGCGAAGGCGGCCAACUGGACGAAUACUGACGCUGAGACACGAAAGCGUGGGGAGCAAACAGG
rnacentral:rRNA from 1 species